AUUUUCAGCGAUGGAUGUCUUGGCUCGCGCAACGAUGAAGGACGCAGUGAAAUGCGAAACGCAAUGUGAAUUGCAGAAUUCAGGGAAUCAUCGGAUUUCUGAACGCAAAUGGCACCUU
rnacentral:rRNA from 1 species